GGCAGGGCCCCCGCCCCAGUCCCCUCCCGGCGGGCCCGUGCGGCCCCGGGGAAGGUGCUGGGGUCCUCUGGCAUCGCCCGGGGACGGCUCGGGUCGGGCGCCCGCGGCCUCGCGGCGUUGCGCGCUCUCCAACAGACUUCUGUCCGCCUCCCGGUUUCUGCUCCGGGUUUAUUCCCGGCAACAGCGGCCGCCUCGGGACACACAUUCACACUGCCACCCGCAAACCCAUUCUUGCGACUCCCGGGGACCUGAGGAAGCGGCGCGGAGAGGUGACCCUCGCCGCCCUGCCCCUGCUCUUCCUCCCCCAGCGGGGCGCGUGGUCGAGUUGCGAGGGGCUCUACUGCUGUCCGGGAAUGGGGGCACUUCGAAGUAGCUGUGACUCUGGGAAUCCAGGCGGAUAUUGGGACCAAUUCAAGAGGCUCUGAGAGUGGCAUCCUGGGGGACGCAAGCACCACGUAGGUUCUCAGCCAGCCCAGAGUCCCUCCUUAUGGCAUGUGCUUCUGGCUCCUGUUUCCUGGCUUUCCAAGAGCGCUGUCACUGGAUAGCCUGCUGGAGACUUUGGGGGAGAGCAAAGACGAGGAGCAUCAAGGAGACCACACUCUUUUUCUCUAAGCAGUCUCGGGAGAACAGAAUUCCAAGCGUUAAAGUGGAUGGUGUGGAUUUUAGAGGUGUAAACUGUGAGAGCAAGGCAGGGAGAAGACCUUCCUCAAGUGGAACCAGCAGCAUCAGCACCACCUGGGAACUGGUUAGAGGUGCCAGUUCUCAGGCCCCACCUUAGCCCUGCUGAACCAAACACUCCGGGAUGGGGGCCCAGCAACGUGUUCAUAAGCCCUUCCAGGAACCGAGACCCCUUGUCCAGUUCAGGCCUGCUGAGAUCACCAACCCAUCAAGUGGGCCUGUGCAAGUGCUGGGUCCUAUUAAGAGGGAUGAAGCUUGACUAGGCUUGUGCAGAUCAUCAAUUGCCUCACUUCUCUUUACUUCCAAUCAUCUGUCUCCACACAUCAGACUGCCCUGCCCUUCAUCCCGUAAAUUGUCCCCCAAGCCCUGGAUCUGGGAGACAGAUCUGAGGGCACAUGCCUGCUGUCUCCUUGCAGAUCAAUAUCAAAAAAUAAAGCUACAUUUCUUUUCCCAAAAGCUGAUGCUGUUAUAAUUGGCUUUUUUAAUGUGCCUUGGGCAAGAGAACCCCAAUUUUGUGCCAUAACAAGUUAAGAAAGUUACUCUUUCUGAGUUUAUGGAGAAGAUUAAGUGAGAUAUAUUCAAAGCAUUUA
rnacentral:lncRNA from 1 species